AUGUCCUCUGUAUUCUUCAUUGUAACCUUGGGCCGUGAAACCCCCUCUCAGCUGGGCCCCAGUUCUGCAGGCCUGUGCCUGCUUGGCCUGUUAUUACUCCAUGAAUCAUUGCUGGCCUUAUUAAACUAUUUUGGGCUGCAGGCUUUCCAUUCUCCUCCCGUGAACCGUGAAGAUUGGAGCUGCUGCAGCAGCAUAGGCCCAGCGUGGAAUCUGAAUGUGAAGGAAAGAAGUUUCACUGGUUUGGAAUAUAGCAUUCUACCUCAGAGAACAACCAAGUCUAGACAUGAAACUGUAAGCAAAGAAUAACUGUUAUUUACUGGCUGUUGUGAGCCUAAUUUAUAACCAAGAAGUGGUGCCUGUGCAUGUUAAGCUACUAUCCACAUGAUGGAUAAACCUUUAAAGGUAAGAGUUCAAAUAAUUUCACGGACUCAGGAUAAUUUAGUUUUAAGGCUAGACAGGAUUGUCAGGCUGAAGGAAUAUCGUUAAUGUCACCUCAAGGAAGACAUUCC
rnacentral:lncRNA from 1 species